UGGGGAAUAUUGCACAAUGGGCGCAAGCCUGAUGCAGCCAUGCCGCGUGUAUGAAGAAGGCCUUCGGGUUGUAAAGUACUUUCAGCGGGGAGGAAGGGAGUAAAGUUAAUACCUUUGCUCAUUGACGUUACCCGCAGAAGAAGCACCGGCUAACUCCGUGCCAGCAGCCGCGGUAAUACGGAGGGUGCAAGCGUUAAUCGGAAUUACUGGGCGUAAAGCGCACGCAGGCGGUUUGUUAAGUCAGAUGUGAAAUCCCCGGGCUCAACCUGGGAACUGCAUCUGAGACUGGCAAGCUGGAGUCUCGUAGAGGGGGGUAGAAUUCCAGGUGUAGCAGUGAAAUGCGUAGAGAUCUGGAGGAAUACCGGUGGCGAAGGCGGCCCCCUGGACGAAGACUGACGCUAAGGUGCGAAAGCGUGGGGAGCAAACAGG
rnacentral:rRNA from 1 species